rnacentral:lncRNA from 1 species
AAUCCACGGUCGCAUUUCGAACCAUUCAAAGAUUUAAGCAGAAGAAAUCGCAUGGAGCCAACAUUGGAGACGAGAUAAGGUGCUAGCACUCGAAUCCAAUGUUUUAGUUCUAAAUUCAUCAUCAUCAUCAUCGACAUUGUCAUGGUAACUAAGGAAAGUCGAGAAGGAAGUAAGUAAUCAAUUGAACUGUAACUUCAGAAACAACCCCAUGCACAUAAAGCUUUAAGGAAAUUGGAUCAAUAAUACUCACUUCAGCACACAUAGGGUGCCUGUGUAACGUCAACGGAGGAUGCAUCUUCUAACUGGCGAAUCAAACGGAGCUGCUUUCUCUCUUCAGGGUUUUUAUUUUUGCUAAUGUUAUUCGCAUUCAUCAAACUCCAUGCAUUCUGAAGCUGAAAUAAAAGUCACAGCACAGGGAAAGAUUCAAACUUUAGGAAGAAGCAGAGAAAGGGAGGGGUUACGAACUUAUGAUGGAAGACAAGCUAGCUAGAAACAAAUACUAAAGGAUUCAUCUCUAUUACUGAAAGGUUUUGGCACAGGCAGUUCAUGAAUCCCAGAACAGAGUUAAAAACAAACAAAUAAUCAAUCAAUCAUUCGAUUCUGGGUAUUCUCGGUGAAAUCAGACUUCGUAGAAUUGGGCAAAGAAGCAAACACAAAUCAGACGAAGCCCAUCAAAGCUGAAAUAACCACGAACGCUACAGUAAAUGGAUAGAGCAGAAAUCAGCGAUGAAAGUACCUGAGAAAGAAGAAGAAGAAGAAACGAUGCUAAUCAGACGGGGAGCUCAGCUGAGUCCGGCCGGAAGAACUACAUGGAAAGAUUGAAGGAGGAAG